CUUCCGUAGGUGAACCUGCGGAAGGAUCAUUACCGAGUGUAGGGUUCCUAGCGAGCCCAACCUCCCACCCGUUGUUUACUGUACCUUAGUUGCUUCGGCGGGCCCGCCAUUCAUGGCCGCCGGGGGCUCUCAGCCCCGGGCCCGCGCCCGCCGGAGACACCACGAACUCUGUCUGAUCUAGUGAAGUCUGAGUUGAUUGUAUCGCAAUCAGUUAAAACUUUCAACAAUGGAUCUCUUGGUUCCGGCAUCGAUGAAGAACGCAGCGAAAUGCGAUAACUAGUGUGAAUUGCAGAAUUCCGUGAAUCAUCGAGUCUUUGAACGCACAUUGCGCCCCCUGGUAUUCCGGGGGGCAUGCCUGUCCGAGCGUCAUUGCUGCCCAUCAAGCACGGCUUGUGUGUUGGGUCGUCGUCCCCUCUCCGGGGGGGACGGGCCCCAAAGGCAGCGGCGGCACCGCGUCCGAUCCUCGAGCGUAUGGGGCUUUGUCACCCGCUCUGUAGGCCCGGCCGGCGCUUGCCGAACGCAAAUCAAUCUUUUUCCAGGUUGACCUCGGAUCAGGUAGGGAUACCCGCUGAACUUAAGCAUAUCAAUAAGCGGAGGA
rnacentral:rRNA from 1 species